rnacentral:rRNA from 1 species
GAUGAACGCUGGCGGCGUGCUUAACACAUGCAAGUCGAACGAAGCAUUGAGAUGAAUUUUCUUCGGAAUUGAAGUCUUAAUGACUUAGUGGCGGACGGGUGAGUAACGCGUGGGUAACCUACCUUAUACAGGGGGAUAACAGUUGGAAACGACUGCUAAUACCGCAUAAGCCUACAGUAUCACAUGAUACAGUAAGAAAAGAUUUAUCGGUAUAAGAUGGACCCGCGUCUGAUUAGCUAGUUGGUGAGGUAAUGGCUCACCAAGGCGACGAUCAGUAGCCGACUUGAGAGAGUGAUCGGCCACAUUGGGACUGAGACACGGCCCAAACUCCUACGGGU